UGGGGAAUUUUGGACAAUGGGCGCAAGCCUGAUCCAGCCAUGCCGCGUGCGGGAAGAAGGCCUUCGGGUUGUAAACCGCUUUUGUCCGGGAAGAAAAGGCCGCAGCGAACAGCUGCGGUUGUUGCCGGUACCGGGAGAAUAAGCACCGGCUAACUACGUGCCAGCAGCCGCGGUAAUACGUAGGGUGCGAGCGUUAAUCGGAAUUACUGGGCGUAAAGCGUGCGCAGGCGGUUCGUUGUGUCCGAUGUGAAAGCCCCGGGCUUAACCUGGGAACGGCAUUGGAAACUGGCGGGCUGGAGUGCGGCAGAGGGGGGUGGAAUUCCGCGUGUAGCAGUGAAAUGCGUAGAGAUGCGGAGGAACACCGAUGGCGAAGGCAGCCCCCUGGGCCGACACUGACGCUCAGGCACGAAAGCGUGGGGAGCAAACAGG
rnacentral:rRNA from 1 species